GCGGGAGUAGUUCACUGGUAGAACGUCAGCUUCCCAAGCUGAAUGUAGCGAGUUCGAUUCUCGUCUCCCGCUCCA
rnacentral:tRNA from 4 species